UAGGGAAUCUUCGGCAAUGGACGGAAGNCUGGACCGAGCAACCNNGGCGUGAGUGAAGAAGGUUUUCGGAUCGUAAAGCUCUGUUGUAAGAGAAGAACGAGUGUGAGAGUGGAAAGUUCACACUGUGACGGUAUCUUACCAGAAAGGGACGGCUAACUACGUGCCAGCAGCCGCGGUAAUACGUAGGUCCCGAGCGUUGUCCGGAUUUAUUGGGCGUAAAGCGAGCGCAGGCGGUUAGAUAAGUCUGAAGUUAAAGGCUGUGGCUUAACCAUAGUACGCUUUGGAAACUGUUUAACUUGAGUGCAAGAGGGGAGAGUGGAAUUCCAUGUGUAGCGGUGAAAUGCGUAGAUAUAUGGAGGAACACCGGUGGCGAAAGCGGCUCUCUGGCUUGUAACUGACGCUGAGGCUCGAAAGCGUGGGGAGCAAACAGGAUUAGAUACCCUGGUAGUCCACGCCGUAAACGAUGAGUGCUAGGUGUUAGACCCUUUCCGGGGUUUAGUGCCGUAGCUAACGCAUUAAGCACUCCGCCUGGGGAGUACGACCGCAAGUUG
rnacentral:rRNA from 1 species